rnacentral:rRNA from 1 species
GAUGAACGCUGGCGGCGUGCCUAAUACAUGCAAGUCGAGCGACCGGACGAGAAGCUUGUUUCUCUGAUGUUAGCGGCGGACGGGUGAGUAACACGUGGAUAACCUACCUAUAUGACUGGGAUAACUUCGGGAAACCGGAGCUAAUACAGGAUAAUAUUUUGAACCGCAUGGUUCAAAAGUGACAGACGGUCUUGCUGUCACUUAUAGAUGGAUUCGCGCUGCAUUAGCUAGUUGGUAAGGUAACGGCUUACCAAGGCAACGAUGCAUAGCCGACCUGAGAGGGUGAUCGGCCACACUGGAACUGAGACACGGUCCAGACUCCUACGGGAGGCAGCAGUAGGGAAUCUUCGGCAAUGGGCGAAAGCCUGACGGAGCAACGCCGCGUGAGUGAUGAAGGUCUUCGGAUCGUAAAACUCUGUUAUUAGGGAAGAACAGAUGUGUAAGUAACUGUGGACAUCUUGACGGUACCUAAACAGAAAGCCACGGCUAACUACGUG